rnacentral:rRNA from 2 species
AAAUUGAAGAGUUUGAUCAUGGCUCAGAUUGAACGCUGGCGGCAGGCCUAACACAUGCAAGUCGAACGGUAACAGGAAGCAGCUUGCUGCUUUGCUGACGAGUGGCGGACGGGUGAGUAAUGUCUGGGAAACUGCCCGAUGGAGGGGGAUAACUACUG